AACACAUGCAAGUCGAGGGGCAGCAUUUCAGUUAGCUUGCUAACUGAAGAUGGCGACCGGCGCACGGGUGAGUAACACGUAUCCAACCUACCAAUGACUCAGGGAUAGCCUUUCGAAAGAAAGAUUAAUACCUGAUGGUAUGACAAUGCCACAUGGCGCUGUCAUUAAAGAAUUUCGGUGAUUGAUGGGGAUGCGUUCCAUUAGGCAGUAGGCGGGGUAACGGCCCACCUAACCGACGAUGGAUAGGGGUUCUGAGAGGAAGGUCCCCCACAUUGGAACUGAGACACGGUCCAAACUCCUACGGGAGGCAGCAGUGAGGAAUAUUGGUCAAUGGGCGAGAGCCUGAACCAGCCAAGUAGCGUGAAGGAUGACUGCCCUAUGGGUUGUAAACUUCUUUUAUAUGGGAAUAAAGUGAGUCACGUGUGGCUUUUUGUAUGUACCAUUAUGAAUAAGCAUCGGCUAACUCCGUGCCAGCAGCCGCGGUAAUACGGAGGAUGCGAGCGUUAUCCGGAUUUAUUGGGUUUAAAGGGAGCGUAGGCGGGCGAUUAAGUCAGUUGUGAAAGUUUGCGGCUCAACCGUAAAAUUGCAGUUGAUACUGGUCGUCUUGAGUACGGUAAAAGUGGGCGGAAUUCGUGGUGUAGCGGUGAAAUGCUUAGAUAU
rnacentral:rRNA from 1 species